GUUCACAGCCAUAUCACCCUGCAGCCCGAGACCGGUUACUCACUGAAGCUAAGCAGGGCUGAGCCUGGUCAGUGUCUGGAUGGGAGACCACUAGGGAACACUAGGUUGCUGUUGGAA
rnacentral:rRNA from 1 species